UGUGUAGGAGAACACAGUGUCUAUUGGUUCAGACAUGGCUCAGGAGAAUCCCAUCCAGGAAUCUUUUACACCGAUGGAGACAGGCGUGAUCAGUGUGAGAAAAGCCCUGAGGCUGGGUCUCCUACACAGAGCUGUGUCUACAACCUCCCCAAGAGGAACGUCAGCCUCUCUGAUGCUGGGACUUAUUACUGUGCUGUGGCCUCAUGUUGGGAGAUACUAUUUGGGAACGGGACCAAGCUGGACAUUCAAGUUUCAGAGCAUGAUUUUCCAUUUGAUCUGAGUCCUACUGUUCUGGCCUUGGUCGUCUCCAACAUCGUUCUGGGGAUAGUGACCCUUCUACUUGUCUGGGCGCUGUGCAAGACUCGGAACAGAGAUAGCAGAGGGAGGACAGAUGUCCCAACAUCCCAGGGCAAUCAGAAUCAAGACAGUGAUGUGUUGAACUAUGCAGCUGUGAGUUUCACCCCCAAGAAGAACUCCUCCUCCUCUAGAAGAGCAAGAGAGAAGACCAGCAGAGAGGAUGCAGUGUACUCUGAGGUCAGAUACCUGCAGCAGCAGUAAAAGAUAUCACCACUGUC